UACGGAAGGCAGCAGUGGGGAAUAUUGCACAAUGGGCGCAAGCCUGAUGCAGCCAUGCCGCGUGUAUGAAGAAGGCCUUCGGGUUGUAAAGUACUUUCAGUCGUGAGGAAGGUGUUAAGGUUAAUAACCUUAGCAAUUGACGUUAGCGACAGAAGAAGCACCGGCUAACUCCGUGCCAGCAGCCGCGGUAAUACGGAGGGUGCGAGCGUUAAUCGGAAUUACUGGGCGUAAAGGGCACGCAGGCGGUUAAUUAAGUUGGAUGUGAAAUCCCCGGGCUUAACCUGGGAAUGGCAUUCAAGACUGGUUAGCUAGAGUCUUGUAGAGGGGGUAGAAUUCCAUGUGUAGCGGUGAAAUGCGUAGAGAUGUGGAGGAAUACCGGUGGCGAAGGCGGCCCCUGGACAAAGACUGACGCUCAUGUGCGAAAGCGUGGGGAGCGAAACAGGGAUAGAUACC
rnacentral:rRNA from 1 species